rnacentral:misc_RNA from 1 species
CAGAGUUGUAAAACUCCCUAAACCCAUGUGAACAUACCUGUUGCCUCGGCGGGCUUACCCUGUAGUUACCCUGUAGCUGCUUGGGGAUGACCGCCGAAGGACCAUCAAACUCUUUUAUCUCUGUAUCUCUGAGUAAAAAAACAAAUAAGUUA